UACGGAGGGGGCUAGCGUUGUUCGGAAUUACUGGGCGUAAAGCGCGCGUAGGCGGCUUUGUAAGUUAGAGGUGAAAGCCCGGAGCUCAACUCCGGAACUGCCUUUAAGACUGCAUCGCUAGAAUUGUGGAGAGGUGAGUGGAAUUCCGAGUGUAGAGGUGAAAUUCGUAGAUAUUCGGAAGAACACCAGUGGCGAAGGCGACUCACUGGACACAUAUUGACGCUGAGGUGCGAAAGCGUGGGAGCAAACAGG
rnacentral:rRNA from 1 species